UACAGGGGGUGCAAACGUUGCUCGGAAUCAUUGGGCGUAAAGCGCACGUAGGCGGUUUGUUAUGUCGGAUGUGAAAGCCCUUGGCUCAACUGAGGAAGUGCAUCCGAAACUGGCAAGCUAGAGUACUAAAGAGGGUCGCGGAAUUCCCGGUGUAGAGGUGAAAUUCGUAGAUAUCGGGAGGAACACCGGUGGCGAAGGCGGGUCUCUGGGCAUCUCCUGACGCUGAGGCGCGAAAGCGUGGGGAGCAAACGGG
rnacentral:rRNA from 1 species